AGCGAGUGGCGAACUGGUGAGUAACACGUGGGUAACCUGCCCCGAAGCGGGGGAUAACAUUUGGAAACAAGUGCUAAUACCGCAUAAUUAGUUGGAACCGCAUGGUUCCAACUUGAAAGAUGGCUCUGCUAUCACUUUGGGAUGGACCCGCGCCGUAUUAGUUAGUUGGUGAGAUAAAAGCCCACCAAGACGAUGAUACGUAGCCGACCUGAGAGGGUAAUCGGCCACAUUGGGACUGAGACACGGCCCAGACUCCUACGGGAGGCAGCAGUAGGGAAUCUUCCACAAUGGACGAAAGUCUGAUGGAGCAACGCCGCGUGAGUGAUGAAGGUUUUCGGAUCGUAAAACUCUGUUGUUAAAGAAGAACAAGUGUUAGAGUAACUGUUAACACUUUGACGGUAUUUAACCAGAAAGCCACGGCUAACUACGUGCCAGCAGCCGCGGUAAUACGUAGGUGGCAAGCGUUGUCCGGAUUUAUUGNNCGUAAAGCGAGCGCAGGCGGUUUUGUAAGUCUGCUGUGAAAGCCCUCAUCUCAACUGAGGAAGUGCAGUGGAAACUACAAAACUUGACUACACAAGAGGACNGCGGAACUCCAUGU
rnacentral:rRNA from 2 species